rnacentral:rRNA from 1 species
UUCCGGUUGAUCCUGCCGGACCUGACUGCUAUCGGAUUGAUACUAAGCCAUGCGAGUCAUUGUAGCAAUACAAGGCAGACGGCUCAGUAACGCGUAGUCAACCUACCCUAUGGACGGGGAUAACCUCGGGAAACUGAGAAUAAUACCCGAUAGAACAUUAUGCCUGGAAUGGUUUAUGUUUCAAAUAAUUUAUUGCCGUAGGAUGGGACUGCGGCCUAUCAGUUUGUUGGUGAGGUAAUGGCCCACCAAGACUAUUACAGGUACGGGCUCUGAGAGGAGUAGCCCGGAGAUGGGUACUGAGACACGGACCCAGGCCCUAUGGGGCGCAGCAGGCGAGAAAACUUUGCAAUGUGCGAAAGCACGACAAGGUUAAUCCGAGUGGUUUCUGCUAAAGGAACCUUUUGUCAGUCCUAGAAACACUGAUGAAUAAGGGGUGGGCAAGUUCUGGUGUCAGCCGCCGCGGUAAAACCAGCACCUCAAGUGGUCAGGAUGAUUAUUGGGCCUAAAGCAUCCGUAGCCUGCUUUGUUAGUUUUCGGUUAAAUCCAUACGCUCAACGUAUGGGCUGCCGGGAAUACUGCAAAGCUAGGGAGUGGGAGAGGUAGACGGUACUCGGUAGGAAGGGGUAAAAUCCUUUGAUCUAUUGAUGACCACCUGUGGCGAAGGCGGUCUACCAGAACACGUCCGACGGUGAGGGAUGAAAGCUGGGGGAGCAAACCGGAUUAGAUACCCGGGUAGUCCCAGCUGUAAACUAUGCAAACUCGGUGAUGCAUUGGCUUGAUGCCAAUGCAGUGCCGCAGGGAAGCCGUUAAGUUUGCCGCCUGGGAAGUACGUACGCAAGUAUGAAACUUAAAGGAAUUGGCGGGGGAGCACCACAAGGGGUGAAGCCUGCGGUUCAAUUGGAGUCAACGCCGGA